rnacentral:SRP_RNA from 1 species
GGGCAAGUCUUAUACGACCAGCUCCUGCUGAACUCCCCCAGGCGGGGAACCGAGCAAGGGUAAGUGGUUGAGCGGUGCGAUAUAAGUAGCUUGCCCUUU